rnacentral:rRNA from 1 species
GACGAACGCUGGCGGCGUGCUUAACACAUGCAAGUCGAACGGUGAGGCCCUGCUUUUGUGGGGUGCUCGAAUGGCGAACGGGUGAGUAACACGAGCGUAACCUGGCCUUGGCUUUGGGAUAACUUCAGGAAACUGGGGCUAAUACCGGAUAGGAGCUCCUGCUGCAUGGUGGGGGUUGGAAAGUUUCGGCGGUUGGGGAUGGACUCGCGGCUUAUCAGUUUGUUGGUGGGGUAGUGGCUUACCAAGGCUUUGACGGGUAGCCGGCCUGGGAGGGUGACCGGCCACAUUGGGACUGAGAUACGGCCCAGACUCCUACGGGAGGCAGCAGUGGGGAAUAUUGCACAAUGGGCGGAAGCCUGAUGCAGCAACGCCGCGUGCGGGAUGACGGCCUUCGGGUUGUAAACCGCUUUCGCCUGGGACGAAGCGUGAGUGACGGUAAUGGGUGAAGAAGCACCGGCUAACUACGUG